rfam:Roseomonas mucosa strain SAVE376 contig00025, whole genome shotgun sequence.
CGAUGGUCCCCCGCCGGCGGCGGAUGCCUGUGGCGGGGGUGAAAAGGGAAUGCGGUGAGGGCCAUCCGGUCCGAAUCCGCGGCUGCCCCCGCAACUGUGAGCGGAGAGCGGCCUGCCAAACCGCCACUGGCGUGCUGGCCUCGGGAACGGGGCGGCGUGCCGGGAAGGCCGGCAGGCCGCGCCUGAUCCGCGAGCCAGGAGACCUGCCAUCAU